rnacentral:rRNA from 1 species
AUACGGAGGAUGCAAGCGUUAUCCGGAUUUAUUGGGUUUAAAGGGUGCGUAGGCGGGACUGUAAGUCAGGGGUGAAAUACUGCAGCUUAACUGUAGCAUUGCCUUUGAAACUGCCGUUCUUGAGUACAGUUGAGGUAGGCGGAAUGUGGUGUGUAGCGGUGAAAUGCAUAGAUAUACCACAGAACGCCGAUUGCGAAGGCAGCUUACUAAGCUGUUACUGACGCUGAGGCACAAAAGCGUGGGGAUCAAACAGGAUUAGAUACCCUGGUAGUCCACGCUGUAAACGAUGAUUACUGGUUGUUAGCGUUAUAUAGCUAGUGACUGAGCGAAAGCAUUAAGUAAUCCACCUGGGGAGUACGUCGGCAACGAUGAAACUCAAAGGAAUUGGCGGGG